rnacentral:rRNA from 1 species
GACGAACGCUGGCGGCGUGCUUAACACAUGCAAGUCGAGCGGUAAGGCCCUUUCGGGGGUACACGAGCGGCGAACGGGUGAGUAACACGUGGGUGACCUGCCCUCAGCUCUGGGAUAAGCCCGGGAAACUGGGUCUAAUACCGGAUAUGACUCCAUGACGCAUGUUGUGGGGUGGAAAGCCUUGUGCGGCUGAGGAUGGGCCCGCGGCCUAUCAGCUUGUUGGUGGGGUGAUGGCCUACCAAGGCGACGACGGGUAGCCGGCCUGAGAGGGCGACCGGCCACACUGGGACUGAGAUACGGCCCAGACUCCUACGGGAGGCAGCAGUGGGGAAUCUUGCGCAAUGGGCGAAAGCCUGACGCAGCGACGCCGCGUGAGGGAUGACGGCCUGGUGUAACGU